rnacentral:rRNA from 1 species
AGAGUUUGAUCCUGGCUCAGAGUGAACGCUGGCGGCGUGGAUUAGGCAUGCAAGUCGCGCGAUCCCGCAAGGGAUAGCGGCAAACGGGUGAGGAACACGUGAGGAAUCUUCCCCAAAGACGGACAUAGCUUCGUGAAAACGGAGGUAAUAUCCGAUGUGACCCGAGGAGCGCAUGUUUCUUGGGUUAAAGGCGGGGACCGCAAGGCCUGCCGUUUUGGGAUGAUCUCGCGUCCUAUCAGCUAGUUGGUGGGGUAAUGGCCUACCAAGGCGUAUGACGGGUAGCUGGUCUGAGAGGAUGGUCCGCCACACUGGGACUGAGACACUGCCCAGACUCCUACGGGAGGCUGCAGUCGAGAAUCUUUAGCAAUGGGCGAAAGCCUGACUAUGCGACGCCGCGUGCAGGAUGAAGGCUUUCGGGCUGUAAACUGCUUUUGUUAGGAGAGAAAAUUUGCAGGUGAAUAUCCUGCAAACUGACGGUACCUGACGAAUAAGCCACGGCCAACUCCGUGCCAGCAGCCGCGGUAAUACGGAGGUGGCGAGCGUUACUCGGAAUCAUUGGGUGUAAAGGGCAAGUAGGCGGCCCGCUAAGUGAGGGGUGAAAUCUUCCGGCUCAAUCGGAAAAUGGCCUUUCAAACUAACGGGCUUGAGGUUGGAAGAGGGAAACGGAAUUAGCAGUGUAAGGGUGAAAUCUGUAGAUAUUGCUAAGAACACCGGCGGCGAAGGCGGUUUCCUGGUCCAAAUCUGACGCUGAAUUGCGAAAGCUAGGGGAGCAAACAGAAUUAGAUACUCUGGUAGUCCUAGCCGUAAACGAUGAGCACUAGGUGUUGGCCCUUUUAGGGUCAGUGCCGCAGCUAACGCAUUAAGUGCUCCACCUGGGGACUACGGCCGCAAGGCUAAAACUCAAAGGAAUUGACGGGGACCCGCACAAGCGGUGGAACAUGUGGUUUAAUUCGAUGCUACGCGAAGAACCUCACCAAGGCUUGACAUACAGGAAGUAGUGAACCGAAAGGGGAACCACCCGUUAAGUCGGGAGCCUGUACAGGUGCUGCAUGGCUGUCGUCAGCUCGUGUCGUGAGAUGUUGGGUUAAGUCCCGCAACGAGCGCAACCAUUGCCCCAUGUUGCUACCCCUCAUUUGUUUUCGAAAGAAAACACUGGGGGCGCACUCUUGGGGGACUGCCUGGGAUAACCAGGAGGAAGGUGGAGAUGACGUCAAGUCAGUACGGCCUUUAUGCCUUGGGCUACACACGUGUUACAAUGGCUGGUACAGAGGGUUGCCAACCCGCGAGGGGGAGCCAAUCUCAAAAAACCAGCCCCAGUUCGGAUUGGAGUCUGCAAUUCGACUCCAUGAAGCCGGAAUCGCUAGUAAUGGGAGAUCAGCUCGCUCCCGUGAGUACGUUCCCGGGUCUUGUACACACCGCCCGUCAAGCGAUGGGAGCCGGGGGUACCCGAAGUCCUGCGUAGGCAGGCCUAAGGUAAAACUGGUGACUGGCGCUAAGUCGGAACAAGGUA